rnacentral:rRNA from 1 species
GAUGAACGCUGGCGGCGUGCCUAAAACAUGCAAGUCGAGCGGUAAGGCCCCUUCGGGGGUACACGAGCGGCGGACGGGUGAGUAACACGUGGGAAUCUACCCCAAACUGAGGGAUAAGCACCGGAAACGGUGUCUAAUACCGCAUAUGGUCUUCGGAUUAAAGCUUCGGCGGUUUGGGAAGAGCCCGCGCAAGAUUAGCUAGUUGGUAAGGUAAUGGCUUACCAAGGCGACGAUCUUUAGCUGGUUUGAGAGGAUGAUCAGCCACACUGGAACUGAGACACGGUCAAGACUCCUACGGGAGGCAGCAGUUAGGAAUCUUCCACAAUGGGCGAAAGCCUGAUGGAGCAACGCCGCGUGCAGGAUGAAUGCCUUCGGGUUGUAAACUGCUUUUAUGUGCGAAGAAUAUGACGGUAACACAUGAAUAAGGAUCAGCUAACUCCGUGCCAGCAGCCGCGGUAA